GUUAGUAUGUUCAUUAAGAAAAACAUAUUUCCAGGUACACGUUUUGCAGUGUAAUUAUAAAAAUGGGGAAAGUAAAUUGUUUACAUGGAUGGUAAUUAAGUAACUCAGAGAAAAGCUAAAUGUGUGUUUCUCCUAAAAUCCAAAAAAUCAUAGGUAUUACCUUGUAUUGUGUUCCCUUGUGGUAAGUUAAAAUGGCAGGCAGAAAUUUGUAUUGCAUGCCUUAAGCCUUGUAUGCAUCAUACGUUAACCAGCUAAAUAUCUAGAUCACACUGCCAGAUUUAUUUGUAUUGUCAGUCUAGCAUACUGUAGAAUUGGUUACUUCACUUCUGCAAAUCUUUGCUGCAGCUGAGAGAAGGGUAUACGAGUAGUCAUAAUGUUUUUAGAGGCUUGAAUGUUAUUGGGCAUACAUUUUCCUAAAUUAUCACUGAGAUAAACACUAAUAUGCUUUACUUGAGUUCUUUCUAUCAAAACAGUGUAAUAUGUGUCCUUUUGACUAACAUUCAGUGGAACAUGUCAUGAUGUCUUAUAACGUUUGCUUUACCAAAUUUAUAACAUAAUGCUUCAAGUUCAAGUAAAGCACCAGUCAAAGACUCUUUGGAUCGAAACUCAUCUUUGAUUACGUUAUGUUAAUUUUCAUCUCUUAGAAUCAUUGUUGCAGGCAUACUGUAGAUGUACAGUGUAUUUCGGUAGAAUGUGUUGAUUCCUUAAUUGGUUUGUGGAGAAUCCUAAUAAUGUUACUGGGCUACUGUAAAUGGUGCAUUCUAAUAACAUGCGCACGCCAACUAAAAAUAACUUUUUUUUGGUGAAGCCAACUUUGUUAAUGCGUACUUGGCUCAAAUGAACCAAAGUGUUGUAGUUUCUUGUAGUUACAAAAUUUACAAUUAGUGAUAUUCUCUUCUAUGUUUCAAUGACAGAAAGAGGAGAAAACUAUGCCAACUGCUUUUGCUCACAAUUGUAAUGGACUAAGCCCAUUAGUAGUUUUACCAAAGACCUUUACUGUUAUUGAUAUUGUUUCCUUUAUUUUUAUAACUGUAUUUCAUUUUGUUUAGCAUUCUAAGCAAAUUGUUAGAAACCUAAUGUGAAACAAACCAAACUUACUGUAGUAACUUACAUAGAUUGGGGUGUGGAUUUACAGACACAAACGGCAUCUCUGGCCCUUUUGUAAAACAAGCAGAAUAUUAAACAAUUUGAGUUUUUAAAUUGGCAGUUUAAUUCAGUGAAGGAAUUUCAGAAGGGAGUGAAAUUUGUGUUGAUAUUCCUAAGUGGCCAUUUAGACUAUUUUGAAGUUGUUUCUCUUUUCUACAUGUUGAUGGUUGUGCACUACUUGUAUGCGGUCAGGAGUAUAAAGAGUUCACUGACUAUGGUGCUUUCUUUAGUUUCAUUUGACUGGUGUUUUCUUAACGAUUUUAAAUAUUUACUCUAUGGAAUGAAUUCAAUAGUGGAUAAUGUGUUAAUUGGUUGUACAAGUCAUUGACUGGUAAAAUAACCGAGGAAAGUGAUUAUUUAAACCAGCAUCUAUGGCAUAUACAGACUUGAGUAGGUUUAUGGUGCAGGUGUUAUUUAAUGAAAAUAUUUCACUUGUUUUUGGUCCUUUGCCCUUCUGAGUAUCUCCCUUUUGGCUUUUGUUGUACUAACAGAAAAUUAUAUUUUUAAUAAUAUGGCUCAGUCAUUCCAUGUUAAGGCCAUAUUAGUCAAUUUUCUUUCCUAUGGACCAGUUUGGCUUUUAAAUACAUCUGUGCCUUUAUGAUGUUAAAAUGUGAUAUUUUAAUUGCGAUUGGAAGAGCAUUUAUAAGAAUAUGAUGGGUAACAUAAUUUAUAUAGGGUUGUUACAUUACAGGAAAGCCAAAAAAUAAUCAGAAUCCCAGUGCCUUCAGAUAAUUGUAUUGAUCGAUAGUCUAACCAAUUUAAAUCUGUGGUUGUUACCCUUCACCUGAUUUAGAAUAAUCCCUUUGAGUGGUGAAAUUUGUUUUGUCGCUCUGAAAAGUUAUGAAUGUAAAGAUGUACAAUUAGCGAUUAAUGAGAAAAUGGUUGUUUGGAAUAAGACUGAUUUAUUUGGUAGAGACCUUGAACAAUGAAUCAUGCCUCUUCUUCUCAGUCUGUAUUUGCCAUAUCAGGAGUAUGCUUCAUUGUCUAUAACCCAUACAUAAUUCCACCUAUACUCAACUUCAUUGGCACGAGAAAAACCAGACAAUUACUGUUAAAGAAAAGCACCAAGUAGAACUUGUGUAAAUGAACUGUAAUUGAGAUUUAUCAUAAUGCUCUGCAGUGGAAUACCCUAUAAUCUAUUUUGCAUUCCUGUGAAGUGUUUUUGUUUCCAUGUUUUAUUAAUAUUGUGAUUAUGGAACCUAAAGAUUUUAUGCAAUCUUGUACAUACAUAAAUAUAAUGUAUGACACUGUUCAAAUUUAGUAUGAGAAAAUGCCUAUUGAAGCAUAGAACUUUUGUAAAACAUGAAAUUAAAGUCUGAAUAGAUGGAACCACUUGUUCCCAAUAGUUAAUUUCAAUAUGUUAAUUUAAUACAGAAACCCUGAAAUAUUGAAUGUACCGUUCUAAAUUAGAUAUUUAAUAGGUCACUGGAAUAAUGUGGAGAGCAGUUAAUCCAUUAUGAUGUAGCAUCUAGUUUUGUGAAUUGCUUUACAAUAAAAUAAAUGUAUAAGACAUAAACAAGUGCAGUUUUCCAGUCUGUAUUUAUUAGUUUAGUAAUUAAGGGGAGGGGGAAAAAUCUAUUUUCUCAGGGUUUUACAGCUAUGUCUGUAGAAUAAAGCAAGGUGUUUAACUGUAAAAUGUAGUACACAGAUGUGUUUACGCUGUCCAUGGAAGUAGACAUAUGUAUUGCAAAUGGAAAACAUUUCCCUUAUUUUGUUAUAUGUAUAGAUGCAUAGGACAUGGAUAGGUAUUCAAUUCCCCUAUAGAAAUCAUAAUAAUGGGAUUUCUCCUGUUGAAAUUUGAACCUUUUCAUGAAUGAAUAGAUUGUCUUGAUCUAAUACAGGCCAGAUUACUUUUAAAUAAAAAAG
ensembl:lncRNA